rfam:Tupaia chinensis contig202511, whole genome shotgun sequence.
UAGGGCACACGGGGCUUUCUGGUUAUUCUUAGAAACAUUAGACAGUUGCAAACUUUUUCUGUCCCAGGGCAAGAUUUUCUAGUUCUUUUCUUUUCUUUUUGGCUUGUCAUCUACUUCCUUCUAAGCUAUGCUUAUCAAGAUUUCACCAACUUACUUUACCUCUAAGACCCUAUAAAUGUUGAGACCUCACGCAAUGGUAUUUAUCUUAGCUCACAAAAAG